rnacentral:rRNA from 1 species
CGUAGGGGGCUAGCGUUGUCCGGAUUUAUUGGGCGUAAAGCGCGUGUAGGCGGCCAGAUAGGUCUGCUGUGAAAACUCGAGGCUCAACCUCGAGCUGUCGGCGGAAACCAUCCGGCUAGAGUCCGGAAGAGGAGAGUGGAAUUCCCGGUGUAGCGGUGAAAUGCGCAGAUAUCGGGAAGAACACCUGUGGCGAAGGCGGCUCUCUGGGACGGUACUGACGCUGAGACGCGAAAGCGUGGGGAGCAAACAGGAUUAGAUACCCUGGUAGUCCACGCCGUAAACGAUGGGUGCUAGGUGUGGGGAGUGUCGACUCUCUCCGUGCCGAAGCUAACGCAUUAAGCACCCCGCCUGGGGAGUACGGCCGCAAGGCUA